UGGGGAAUUUUGGACAAUGGGCGAAAGCCUGAUCCAGCAAUGCCGCGUGUGUGAAGAAGGCCUUCGGGUUGUAAAGCACUUUUGUCCGGAAAGAAAUUCUUGGCUCUAAUACAGUCGGGGGAUGACGGUACCGGAAGAAUAAGCACCGGCUAACUACGUGCCAGCAGCCGCGGUAAUACGUAGGGUGCAAGCGUUAAUCGGAAUUACUGGGCGUAAAGCGUGCGCAGGCGGUUUGCUAAGACCGAUGUGAAAUCCCCGGGCUCAACCUGGGAACUGCAUUGGUGACUGGCAGGCUAGAGUAUGGCAGAGGGGGGUAGAAUUCCACGUGUAGCAGUGAAAUGCGUAGAGAUGUGGAGGAAUACCGAUGGCGAAGGCAGCCCCCUGGGCCAAUACUGACGCUCAUGCACGAAAGCGUGGGGAGCAAACAGGAUUAGAUACCCUGGUAGUCCACGCCCUAAACGAUGUCAACUAGUUGUUGGGGAUUCAUUCCUUAGUAACGUAGCUAACGCGUGAAGUUGACCGCCUGGGGAGUACGGUCGCAAGAUUAAAACUUAAAUGAAUUGACGGGGUCAUAGCUGUUUCCU
rnacentral:rRNA from 1 species